rnacentral:misc_RNA from 1 species
GUCUUCUAUGGUUACUCUGAUUUUAAUUCACUUUGUUUGUGCUUUGUACAUUUCACCAUUUGAUUAGAUUUUAACAAUUCAUUUAAUGGUAGUUAUUGAUAAAAUAAGAUUUACUUCAUUAAAAAACAAAGUUACUAUAGAAACUCCCCAUUCAAAAAGCUACAACUGCAUAAAGAAACCCAAAUCCAUUUCAAACUCAGCAACCACAGUUUAUAAAUGGAACUGUGAAAACAUGAUGCUAUAGUCAGUAAAUUAUAAGCCAUUUAGAACAAAGACCAAGAGCAUCAAUAAAACAGAUACCAACAUAGAGAUGGAACUACAUUCUCAAAAAAGAAAACAUGGAGAUGGAACUAGGUUACCAAAGGCAAAUUGAAAAACAAAAUUUGAAAGUAAAAUAAACAGGUGUCUCUCUGUGUGUGUGCAUCUGUAGACACGCAUGU